rnacentral:rRNA from 1 species
CUACGGGAGGCAGCAGUGGGGAAUUUUGCACAAUGGGGGAAACCCUGAUGCAGCAACGCCGCGUGGAGGAUGAAGUCCCUUGGGAUGUAAACUCCUUUCGACCGGGACGAUAAUGACGGUACCGGAAGAAGAAGCACCGGCUAACUCUGUGCCAGCAGCCGCGGUAAU